rnacentral:rRNA from 1 species
UACGAGGGGGGCGAGCGUUGUUCGGAAUUAUUGGGCGUAAAGGGUGCGUAGGCGGGUUUUUAAGUCAGAGGUGAAAUCCUGGAGCUCAACUCCAGAACUGCCUUUGAUACUGAAAGUCUUGAGUAUGGGAGAGGUGAGUGGAACUGCGAGUGUAGAGGUGAAAUUCGUAGAUAUUCGCAAGAACACCAGUGGCGAAGGCGGCUCACUGGCCCAUUACUGACGCUGAGGCACGAAAGCGUGGGGAGCAAACAGG